rnacentral:misc_RNA from 1 species
GAUGAAGAACGUAGCGAAAUGCGAUAAGUAAUGUGAAUUGCAGAAUUCAGUGAAUCAUCGAGUUUUUGAACGCAUAUUGCGCCCUCUGGUAUUCCGGGGGGCAUGCCUGUCCGAGCGUCAUUGCUGCCCUCAAGCACGGCUUGUGUGUUGGGCCUCCGUCCUCCUCCCGGGGGACGGGCCCGAAAGGCAGCGGCGGCACCGCGUCCGGUCCUCGAGCGUAUGGGGCUUCGUCACCCGCUCUUGUAGGCCCGGCCGGCGCUUGCCGACACAUCAAUCUUUUUUCCAGGUUGACCUCGGAUCAGGUAGGGAUACCCGCUGAACUUAAGCAUAUCAAUAAGCGGAGGA